rfam:Habropoda laboriosa contig14010, whole genome shotgun sequence.
CAAAUGGCCCUUUUCAGGGCCACAAAUUUUUUAUGGAACGAAGAAG